GACUACUGGGGUAUCUAAUCCUGUUUGCUCCCCACGCUUUCGCGCCUCAGCGUCAGUUGUUGGCCAGAAAGUCGCCUUCGCCACUGGUGUUCCUCCUAAUAUCUACGCAUUUCACCGCUACACUAGGAAUUCCACUUCCCUCUCCAACACUCAAGAUAUACAGUUUCAGUUGCAAUUCCGGGGUUGAGCCCCGGAUUUUCACAGCUGACUUGUAAACCCGCCUACGCGCCCUUUACACCCAGUAAUUCCGGACAACGCUUGCCACCUACGUAUUACCGCGGCUGCUGGCACGUAGUUAGCCGUGGCUUUUUUGUCGGGUACCGUCAUUUUUUUCGUCCCCGACCAAAGAAGUUUACAAUCCGAAAACCUUCAUCCUUCACGCGGCGUCGCUGCGUCAGGGUUUCCCCCAUUGCGCAAUAUUCCCCACUGCAGCCUCCCGUAGG
rnacentral:rRNA from 1 species